rnacentral:rRNA from 1 species
AUUGAACGCUGGCGGCAGGCCUAACACAUGCAAGUCGAACGAGUGGCGGACGGGUGAGUAAUGUCUGGGACACUGCCUGAUGGAGGGGGAUAACUACUGGAAACGGUAGCUAAUACCGCAUACCAUCGGAUGUGCCCAGAUGGGAUUAGCUAGUUGGUGGGGUAAAGGCUCACCUAGGCGACGAUCCCUAGCUGAGCUGAGAGGGUGACCGGCCACACUGGAACUGAGACACGGUCCAGACUCCUACGGGAGGCAGCAGUGGGGAAUAUUUGACAAUGGACGCAAGCCUGAUGCAGCCAUGCCGCGUGAAUGAAGAAGGCCUUCGGGUUGUAAAGUACUUUCGGUGAGGAAGCGUUACUCGCAGAAGAAGCACCGGCUAACUCCGUGCCAGCAGCCGCGGUAAUUC